GAAAGUUAUGGUCUUGGGAAGUUGACCUCCAAAUUAGGGUUUAGACAAAAUGACCUAGAAUCUUUCACCAUAAUUUGAAUGGAUUUCAUAUUAUAAAAAUUGAGAAAGUUAUGGUCUUGGGAAGUUGACCUCCAAAUUAGGGUUUAGACAAAAUGACCUAGAAUCUUUCACCAUAAAAAAUGACUUUCCAAGAAAAAAUUGCUCUUAACUUAAACAUUAAAGUUUUCUUAAUGUCAUUUAGAGUAACUUUGAUCUUGGAAUUAUU
rnacentral:lncRNA from 1 species